AUUAUUAGAAUUUGAUGUAGGAUUUAGGAUUUGAUUAGGGUUUGGAUUAGGGUUUGGUUUAGGAUUUGGUUAGGAUUUUAUUUAGGAUUUAGGGUUUGUUUAGGAUUUAAUAUAGGGUUUAGGAUUUUGUUAGGAUUUGGUUUAAGAUUUGAUUAGGGUUUGGUUUAGGAUUUAGGAUUUGGAUUAGGAUUUGGUUUAGGAUUUGGUUAGGAUUUUAUUUAGGAUUUAGGAUUUGAUUAGGGUUUGAUUUAGGGUUUAGGAUUUGAUAAGGGUUCGGUUUGGGAUUUAGGAUUUGAAUUAGGGUUUGAUUUAGGAUUUGGUUAGGGUUUGAUUUAGGAUUUAGGAUUUGGUUAGGAUUUGAUUUAGGGUUUAGGAUUUGGAUUAGGAUUUGAUUUAGGGUUUAGGAUUUUAUUGGGAUUUAAGAUUCAAAUAGUUUGGCCUAAAUUUUGAAUGAAAUUCAAUAGGAUUUUAACUAGAAUUAAAUUAAGAUUGAAUUGAGAUGUAUUUGAAUGAUAUUUGUGUUCUUUCUAAUGUUUCUUUAAAAAUUCUUAUUGUUUGUUUGAUAUUUCUUUGAGAUUUUUUUGAAUUUGAUUAAGCUUGCUUAGCAUUAUUAUAGUCUAAUUAGAGAAUUUUUAGUAUUCUAUUAGAAUUAGGAUUUUUUUAUUGCA
rnacentral:lncRNA from 1 species